rnacentral:lncRNA from 1 species
CUAAUGGAGACUCUUCAUCGAUCAUUCAGUUGUCUGCUGCUGGUGGGAUGUGCGGCGGGUUAGGCUUUGGUUUGGGCUCCGGCUUGGGUUCAGGCUUUGGUUUUGGUUCAGGCUUAGGCUCCGGUUUGGGUUCUGGUUUCGGCUUGGGCUCGGGCUUUGGUUCAGGUUUAGGCUUAGGCUCAGGCUUAGGUAGUGGUUCGGGUUUUGGUUCCGGCUUCGGCUCAGGCUUAGGCUCGGGUUUUGGUUUGGGCUCGGGCUUAGGCUCUGGUUUGGGUAGUGGUUCUGGUUUUGGUUCUGGCUUGGGCUCGGGCUUAGGCUCUGGUUUGGGCAGUGGCUCUGGCUUUGGCUCUGGUUUUGGCAAUGGUUUGGGCUUUGGUUCCGGCUUGGGCUCAGGCUUAGGCUCUGGUUUUGGUAGUGGUUCAGGUUUUGGUUCCGGCUUGGGUUCAGGCUUAGGCUCGGGCUUUGGUUCCGGCUUGGGCUCAUGCUUAGGUUGCAGUGGUUCGGGUAUGGGUUCUGUGCUUGGGUUCAGGCUUAGUGCUCGGUGCUUUGGGUAUCGUGCUUGGGCUCAGGCUUAGGCUCCGGUAUCGGCAUCGGUUCGGGCUUUGGUUCUGGCUAGGGCUCAGGCUUAGGCUCAGGUUUUGGUUUUGGCAUGGGCUCAGGUUUUGGUUCAGGCUUAGGCUCCGGCUUAGGCUCAGGCUUAGGUUUUGGUUCUGGCUUGGGCUCCGGUUUUGGCAGUGGUUCAGGCUUGGGCUCAGGCUCGGGUUUUGGUUCAGGCUUAGGCUCAGGUUUUGGCUUUGGCUCAGGCUUUUUUGGCUUUGGCUUUGGUUCAGGCAUAGGCUUGGGCAUCGGUUCGGGUUUGGGCUUUGGCUCUGGCUUCGUUAUGGGUUUAGGUUGAGGCUCAGGUUUAGGUUCAGGUUUCGGCGAAG